rnacentral:rRNA from 1 species
AGCUCCAAUAGCGUAUAUUAAAGUUGCUGCAGUUAAAAAGCUCGUAGUUGCAUUUCCGAGGCAAGGGAUUAGUCCGACCUUUGGUGGGUAUUUAAUCCUCUUGCCUCGUCCUUGAGUGGUGCUUCUUGGUAUUAAGUUAUCGAGGAGAUAGCCGCUCAUCGUUUACUGUGAGAAAAUUAGAGUGUUCAAAGCAGGCUUAUGCCGUUGAAUAUAUUAGCAUGGAAUAAUAAGAUAGGACCUCGGUACUAUUUUGUUGGUUUGAGAACCAAGGUAAUGAUGAAUAGGGACAGUUGGGGGUAUUCGUAUUCAGUUGUCAGAGUUGAAAUUCUUAGAUUUACGGAAGACGAACUACUGCGAAAGCAUUUUCCAAGGAUGUUUUCA